UUUGUCAAGCAUACUACCCUGAAUGUGCCUGCUUUUGUCUGAUCUCAGAGCUAAGCAGGGUCAGGCCUAGUUAGUACCUGGAUGAGAGAAAUGCAUACAUUUAUAUCAUGGAAAGUUUUUCACACAU
rnacentral:rRNA from 1 species